rnacentral:rRNA from 1 species
UGAGGAAUCUUGCGCAAUGGGGGAAACCCUGACGCAGCAACGCCGCGUGAGUGAGGAAGGUCUUCGGAUCGUAAAGCUCUGUCAGUUGGAAAGAAAUGUCUGAGAGUCAAUCCCUUUCAGGCUUGACGGUACCAACAGAGGAAGCACCGGCUAACUCCGUGCCAGCAGCCGCGGUAAUACGGGGGGUGCAAGCGUUGUUCGGAAUUAUUGGGCGUAAAGAGCGUGUAGGCGGCCGGAUAUGUCAGAUGUGAAAGCCCCGGGCUUAACCCGGGAGGUCGAGUGGAAACUGGCGGGCUGGAGUAGGGGGGAGGGAGGGGGAAUUCCGGGGGUAGGGGUGAAAUUCGUAGAAAUCAGGGGGAAAACCGGUGGCGAAGGCGCCUUCCGGGCCC